CCCGCGCUCCUCCGGGCAGAGCGCGUGUGGCGGCCGAGCACAUGGGCCCGCGGGCCGGGCGGGCUCGGGGCGGCCGGGACGAGGAGGGGCGACGACGAGCUGCGAGCAAAGAUGUGCCCCGGGACCCCCGGCACCUUCCAGUGGAUUUCCUUGCGGAAAGGAUGUUGGCGGUCCCUGUGACCUGUGGAGACACGGCCAGAUCUGCCCUCCAGAUUUAUUAGGAGAAAAACCUUCCCGGAAGCUGCAGAAGGACAAAUACAGAAUCCGUGUCUGGGAGAAACCUCGUGGCCUGGUCUCCAUUAUUUGAGAUGAGUUACAUCUUGGAGGUGAGGACGUGCCUCGUGGUCUAAAGCUUCGGCACAAGGGCCCAACUGGAAUUCCACUUACGGGCCUGAUCUUUUGGCCAGAAGGAGAUUAAAAAGAUGCCCCUCAAGAUGGCUGUGCCUGUCAGCUGCAUGGAGCUUCGUUCAAGUAUUUUCUGAGCCUGAUGGAUUUACAGUGAUCUUCAGUGGUCUGGGGAAUAACGCUGGUGGAACCAUGCACUGGAAUGACACACGCCCGGCACAUUUCAGGAUACUAAAAGUGGUUUUAAGGGAGGCUGUGGCUGAAUGCCUCAUGGAUUCUUACAGCUUGGAUGUCCAUGGGGGACGAAGGACUGCAGCUGGCUGAGAGGGUUGAGAUCUCUGUUUACUUAGAUCUCUGCCAACUUCCUUUGGGUCUCCCUAUGGAAUGUAAGACCCCGACUCUUCCUGGUGAAGCAUCUGAUGCACGUUCCAUCCGGCGCUCAGCUGGGCUUGAGAGUCUCACUCUGUGGUCCAGGCUGAAGUACAGUGGCAUGAUCCCAGGUCACUGCAACCCCCACCUCCCGGGUUCAAGUGAUCCUCCUGCCUCAGCCUCCCGAGUAGCUGGUAUUACAGGCGUGUGCCACAAAGCCUGGCUAAGUUUUGUAUUUUUAGUAGAGACGGGGUUUCACCAUGUUGGCCAGGUUGGUCUCGAACUCCUGACCUCAAGUGAUCCACUCACUUUGGCCUUUCAACGUGCUGGGAUUACAGGCGAGAGUCACCGCACCCGGACGACUCUGACAUUUUUGAAGAGUCCAGAAUCCUGUUACACCUGGGAUUUAGGCACUUUCAAUCUGAAAAAAUACAUAUCCUUUCAGCACUCUGGACGGACUUGAGAACUGUCCUUACGUGACCUAAAGCUGGAGUAUUUUGAGAUUGGAGAAUUAAGGCCAACAGAGAUUUUGAGAAACACAUUGAAGGAUCUGUUAACACUUGAUAUACCCAAUAAAAGCAGUGGUUGUGCCAGUGCUGAUCUGUCUUGAUGUGAAUGUGAACAAUGGGAACCUGAGCUGAGCAGUUAAUGCUAGGGUGACAGAAACUGGACCUCUCCCAAGACAUGUGACAGAGUAAUACAGCAGCCAACUUCUUCGCCAAAUUAAAGUUUUACAAGAUUUAACCUGUCAUCAAGACCUGGGAUUUUGGUGAGCCAGUCUUGGUGCUCUGUGUUCACCUGGUUCAUCUGAGGAGCUGCAUCUACCCUGCCCAUGCCAUAGAUCCUGCCCUGUUUGCUUCUCCUGUUGCUGCUAGUGGACAUGAGGUAACCACAGCCUAGUUCUGUGAUAAGCUCUUCACACCUGUACCCAUAUGGACUGUGGGAGAGUUUCUCUGAUAUGGACUGUGAUGCGGAAGGACAGAAUAACGGGCUCCCAGAUUCACAAGCCCCACCAAGAGGAUCACCCCAGGAACGCUUGGAGGCUGAGGAGUUCACUGAGGCUACUGCAUCUUGAGACUCAGGAUGAAGACCCAGCUUGGGGCUGUCAAAGGUUUUUUGCAUGUCUGACACCCAUGACUCCACCUGGACCUUAUGGCUCCACCCAGAAGCAAUUCAGCCCAACAGGAGGACAGCUUCAACCCAUUACGAUUUCAUCUCUGCCCCAACCACUCAGCAGCAAGCACCUGUUACCUGUCCACCCCCACCCCUUCCCCCAAACUGCCUUUGAAAAAUCCCUAACCUAUGAGCUUUGAAUAAGAUGAGUACGAACUUCAUCGCCCACGUGGCGUGGCCGGCCUCGUGUCUAUUAAAUUCUUUUUCUACUACAA
rnacentral:lncRNA from 1 species